rnacentral:rRNA from 1 species
AGCUCCGGGAAACUGGAAUUAAUACCGUAUGCGCCCUACGGGGGAAAGAUUUAUCGCCGAUGGCCGGGCCCGCGUUGGAUUAGCUAGUAGGUUGGGUAAUGGCUGACCUAGGCGACGAUCCAUAGCUGGUCUGAGAGGAUGAUCAGCCACACUGGGACUGAGACACGGCCCAGACUCCUACGGGAGGCAGCAGUGGGGAAUAUUGGACAAUGGGGGCAACCCUGAUCCAGCCAUGCCGCGUGAGUGAUGACGGCCUUAGGGUUGUAAAGCUCUUUCAGCAGUGAAGAUAAUGACAUUAUCUGCAGAAGAAGCCCCGGCUAACUUCGUGCCAGCAGCCGCGGUAAUACGAAGGGGGCUAGCGUUGUUCGGAAUCACUGGGCGUAAAGCGCGCGUAGGCGGAUUGAUAAGUUAGGGGUGAAAUCCCGAGGCUCAACCUCGGAACUGCCUUUGAUACUGUCAGUCUUGAGUUCGAGAGAGGUGAGUGGAACUCCGAGUGUAGAGGUG